rnacentral:rRNA from 1 species
UACAGAGGGGGCAAGCGUUGUUCGGAAUUACUGGGCGUAAAGGGCUCGUAGGUGGCCAACUAAGUCAGACGUGAAAUCCCUCGGCUUAACCGGGGAACUGCGUCUGAUACUGGAUGGCUUGAGUUCGGGAGAGGGAUGCGGAAUUCCAGGUGUAGCGGUGAAAUGCGUAGAUAUCUGGAGGAACACCGGUGGCGAAGGCGGCAUCCUGGACCGACACUGACGCUGAGGAGCGAAAGCCAGGGGAGCAAACGGG